AGUAACGGCGAGUGAAGCGGUAUCAGCUCAAAUUUGAAAUCCGGCUUCUUUGGAGCCCGAGUUGUAAUUUGUAGAGGACGUUUCGGGUACCGCUACGGCUUAAAUUUCUUGGAACAGAAUGUCAGAGAGGGUGAGAAUCCCGUCUGGAGCCGUGGUAGGGCCUAUGUGAAACUCCUUCGACGAGUCGAGUUGUUUGGGA
rnacentral:rRNA from 1 species